AUGGCGGCCAAGUUGAAGGUGCACUUCCACGCCGGCGGCCCGAUCUCGACGGCAAUCCGACGCAGGCGGCGUCCACCAACAGCUCCUCCUCCAAGGACGAGGUGGGCCACGCGCAAGAGACCUACGUGCAGAUUUGCUGUUUCAUGUCAUUUAUUUUCUUAUUUCCUGUUUGGUCUUAAUUCCAGUUUUUUGUUUGUAAUAGUUGUUCAUGGGAUGAAAUUUCCAAAUCACGUUGGUUUGUUUGCAUACCCAAAUUGUAAUGAUUAUAUUUUAUUACUUUCCAUCGUGGAUAGAGAUGUAUUUGUCCUCAUUUUGCUCUUGAACUAUGGAAUUUCUUGA
rnacentral:rRNA from 1 species